rnacentral:rRNA from 1 species
GAUGAACGCUGGCGGCGUGCCUAACACACGCAAGUCGAACGGACUUUUGAUGAAACCUAGUGAUUUAAAAGUUAGUGGCGGACGGGUGAGUAACGCGUGGGUAACCUGCCUCACACUGGGGGAUAACAGUUAGAAAUGACUGCUAAUACCGCAUAAGCGCACAGUACCGCAUGGUACCGUGUGAAAAACUCCGGUGGUGUGAGAUGGACCCGCGUCUGAUUAGCUAGUUGGCGGGGUAACGGCCCACCAAGGCGACGAUCAGUAGCCGGCCUGAGAGGGUGAACGGCCACAUUGGGACUGAGACACGGGCCCAAACUCCUACGGGAGGCAGCAGUGGGGAAUAUUGGGCAAUGGGGGGGAACCCUGACCCAGCAACGCGCGUGGAGGAAGAAGGUUUUCGGA